rnacentral:rRNA from 1 species
UACGGGGGGGGCAAGCGUUGUUCGGAAUUACUGGGCGUAAAGGGCUCGUAGGUGGCCAACUAAGUCAGACGUGAAAUCCCUCGGCUUAACCGGGGAACUGCGUCUGAUACUGGAUGGCUAGAGUGUGGGAGAGGGAUGCGGAAUUCCAGGUGUAGCGGUGAAAUGCGUAGAUAUCUGGAGGAACACCGGUGGCGAAGGCGGCAUCCUGGACCACGACUGACGCUGAGUGAGCGAAAGCCAGGGGAGCAAACGGG